GGUGCCAUAACUAGUCCUCGGUACUACGCAACCUGUUGAUUUACCCGCCUUUUCCACACCUUGUUUCAUUCAGUAAGCAAUGUCCACAAUAGGACCUGUACACAAGAGCUACUUAUCAGCUGAUUUCAUGCACACGUCUUCAAAAAAACUGGGUUGGACGCUGAAGAACGCAACAAUUUACGCUACUGAAGCGAUCGCUGUGGGUUGUUAAGCCACGUUUAUGCGUAAAAAUGCAUUGCUUUUUACAUAGAGUGGCAACAAUUACGCAUGUAUGCUAUCUUACUAAUGCGGUUAAAUGGACAACAAGGCAAAUGCUUUAGUGCGCAACUGACGUUUAAAAGGGUCCAGCGAGCACCUCGUCCAUGACAAACACCGAUGUUUCUGACGGUCUACACCCGUCUCGGAUGACUUUUAAGGGGGUGACAUUGCAAGAAUCUCCCUCCCUGACUCCGGAGCAACCCCUCCCACCAACAGCGUGCUCUGCACUCUUCACCUAAAAGCUCUGCAGGCUUUACUAGCAGCAAACCAGGUUCGGAAAAAUUAAGUUCACGGUGGACCGAAGGAGAUCGAGGGCAUCGAGUCCGUGAGAAGGAUGUUGGAGCUUGUACUUGUGCUGAUUGUAAGCUGGUAAUUUUCCACGAGCCACGAAGGGGAGUGGUUGUUCAGAGUCAGGGUAUGAUACGCAUGGCAUGGGUCAGAGUCUGAUACAAUUGGCUUGUGAUAGUCUAUAUAAACUUAACUACCGCGAAGUUAACUCCAGUGUGGCAGUGAUGUAUUAUAAACCAGUCUAAUAACUCGAAAACAUAUUAAUAAACCGUCCGUGUCGUGUGGCACUUCAUAGAGACGUCAAAAGCUUGCAUGCCCCCUCCCCCCUUGUAAAUCACGUGACGCAACGCCACUUAAACGUCAGUUGAUGGAAAAAUACUGGAUUUUGUGUGUGCAAACUGCUAGUGUCUGUACUGAACAAAGAAUGAAGAAAAAUACAUUGUCCUGCAGUCAAGAAGUCAUUUAUGCUUAUACAUUUUUUUUUUUUAUAAAACUGUUACUUUUCACAAGGUCAUGGUGUGCAUUUUAUACAUGUUGAGUAUCUGAUACAGUAUUUCCCUUUAGUUCAGCAUGUGGCCCAUUCUGCACACCUUUUUUAAAAUGGUUAACUAAAUAAGCAGUGUUACAGGAGUUUAGGACUAGUAAUUUGGUAAAUUAUAUGCUCAGACUUAACCAACAAACUGAUCUCACUUCCAGUGACGGUGAACCUUUAAUCCAAAUGCAGCAGGUUUAUUCUCGAACAGAAACUAACACUGUGUUUUUCUGCAUUUAGUGGGUCCAGGCAUAAUUUGAUAAUCAGCUGUUGUUGUAUGAAUCAGCUCCAUAUUUACUAAUUUUUAUCCUUUUAUUAUGUGUUGGUCCCACACUGCUGUUAUCUUUGGAGAUAAGUGAGAUGUGGUGUAAAUGAAUUGUAGUUGUCAUUUUUACCUGUCUGUGAGUAAAGUCAGUGCCACAACACAGGCCAUACUGCUUUCCAGGAAUCACAGGUGAAAUUCUCUGAACCCCAAAAAGUUUGAUGUUCCAGGUUUUUUUUUUUUUUUUUAUAAAUGAACAAAGAGUGUGUGCGUCUUAAACUCUUUUAGAUAAUCCUAUAUAAAUUGUCACCUGACUAGUAUGAGCUGAAUAAUGUCCAUUUGUAUGUCAUUGUUUUUGUUUUGUUAAAAUGUUUUUGCACAGAUCAUAAUUUGAGAGACACAUUUGUGUGAAUUGAAAUCCCCAAAUUAAGCAUGGUAACUGCUUUAAAACAGCAAUCAGCAAAUGUGCUCUUAUUUUAGAAAUGAUGUUCCUCAGGCUUUGACUUCACUCUGUAUAACAGAAAACUUGCCAUGCUUCCUUUCUUUGUUGUCUCAGCUGUUUUGAAUUAAUUUGAGAAAUACAAUAAACCAUUGAAACUUC